GAUGAACGCUAGCGGCAGGCUUAACACAUGCAAGUCGAGGGGUAACAUAGAAAAGCUUGCUUUUCUGAUGACGACCGGCGCACGGGUGCGUAACGCGUAUACAACCUACCUUUUAGCGGGGAAUAGCCCAGGGAAACUUGGAUUAAUGCCCCAUAGUAUAUAGACUUCUCCUGAAGUUUAUAUUAAACAUUUAUGGCUAUUAGAUGGGUAUGCGUCCUAUUAGUUAGUUGGUAAGGUAACGGCUUACCAAGGCAGCGAUAGGUAGGGGUCCUGAGAGGGAGAUCCCCACACUGGUACUGAGACACGGACCAGACUCCUACGGGAGACAGCAGUGAGGAAUAUUGGACAAUGGGCGAGAGCCUGAUCCAGCCAUGCCGCGUGCAGGAAGACUGCCCUAUGGGUUGUAAACUGCUUUUACAGAGGAAGAACCACCCCCACGUGUGGGGGUUUGACGGUACUCUGCGAAUAAGGAUCGGCUAACUCCGUG
rnacentral:rRNA from 1 species